rnacentral:rRNA from 1 species
UACGUAGGGUGCAAGCGUUGUCCGGAUUUAUUGGGCGUAAAGAGCGUGUAGGCGGCCAUACAGGUCCGUUGUGAAAACUCGAGGCUCAACCUCGAGACGUCGAUGGAAACCGUAUGGCUAGAGUCCGGAAGAGGAGAGUGGAAUUCCUGGUGUAGCGGUGAAAUGCGCAGAUAUCAGGAAGAACACCCGUGGCGAAGGCGGCUCUCUGGGACGGUACUGACGCUGAGACGCGACAGCGUGGGGAUCAAACAGG